rnacentral:rRNA from 1 species
AUAUACGGCCAUAUCACGUUGAAAGCACCGGUUCUCGUCCGAUCACCGAAGUUAAGCAACAUCGAGCCUAGUUAGUACUUAGAUGGGUAACCGCUUGGGAAACCUAGGUGCUGUAGGCA